GGCUUAACACAUGCAAGUCGAGGGGUAUAGAGAGCUUGCUUUCUAGAGACCGGCGCACGGGUGCGUAACGCGUAUGCAAUCUACCUUUCACAGAGGGAUAGCCCAGAGAAAUUUGGAUUAAUACCUCAUAGUAUAACAUGGCCGCAUGGUCGCGUUAUUAAAGUCACAACGGUGAAAGAUGAGCAUGCGUCCCAUUAGUUAGUUGGUAAGGUAACGGCUUACCAAGACUACGAUGGGUAGGGGUCCUGAGAGGGAGAUCCCCCACACUGGUACUGAGACACGGACCAGACCCCUACGGGAGGCAGCAGUGAGGAAUAUUGGACAAUGGAGGCAACUCUGAUCCAGCCAUGCCGCGUGCAGGAUGACGGUCCUAUGGAUUGUAAACUGCUUUUAUACGAGAAGAAACACUCCUUCGUGAAGGAGCUUGACGGUAUCGUAAGAAUAAGGAUCGGCUAACUCCGUGCCAGCAGCCGCGGUAAUACGGAGGAUCCAAGCGUUAUCCGGAAUCAUUGGGUUUAAAGGGUCCGUAGGCGGUUUAGUAAGUCAGUGGUGAAAGCCCAUCGCUCAACGGUGGAACGGCCAUUGAUACUGCUAGACUUGAAUUAUUAGGAAGUAACUAGAAUAUGUAGUGUAGCGGUGAAAUGCUUAGAGAUUACAUGGAAUACCAAUUGCGAAGGCAGGUUACUACUAAUAUAUUGACGCUGAUGGACGAAAGCGUGGGUAGCGAACAGGAUUAGAUACCCUGGUAGUCCACGCCGUAAACGAUGGAUACUAGCUGUUGGGAGCAAUUUCAGUGGCUAAGCGAAAGUGAUAAGUAACCCACCUGGGGAGUACGUUCGCAAGAAUGAAACUCAAAUGAAUUGACG
rnacentral:rRNA from 1 species